UAACACAUGCAAGUCGAGCGAAGGGAAGGGAGCUUGCUUCCUGAACUUAGCGGCGGACGGGUGAGUAACGCGUGGGCAACCUGCCCUAUACAGGGGGAUAGCCACUCGAAAGGGUGAUUAAUACCGCAUAAAACUGUGGUACCGCAUGGUAUUAUAGUCAAAGGAGGAAUCCGGUAUAGGAUGGGCCCGCGACCCAUUAGUUAGUUGGUGAGGUAACGGCUCACCAAGACAGCGAUGGGUAGCCGAUCUGAGAGGAUGACCGGCCACAUUGGAACUGAGAAACGGUCCAGACUCCUACGGGAGGCAGCAGUGGGGAAUAUUGCGCAAUGGGGGGAACCCUGACGCAGCAACGCCGCGUGAGUGAAGAAGGCCUUCGGGUCGUAAAGCUCUGUCUUCAGGGACGAAAAAAGACGGUACCUGAGGAGGAAGCCACGGCUAACUACGUGCCAGCAGCCGCGGUAAUACGUAGGUGGCGAGCGUUGUCCGGAAUUACUGGGCGUAAAGGGUGCGUAGGCGGUGUUCCAAGUCAGAUGUGAAAACCCAAGGCUUAACCAUGGGAUUGCAUUUGAAACUGGGAUGCUGGAGUGCAGGAGAGGGAAGCGGAAUUCCUAGUGUAGCGGUGAAAUGCGUAGAUAUUAGGAAGAACACCAGUGGCGAAGGCGGCUUCCUGGACUGUAACUGACGCUGAGGCACGAAAGCGUGGGGAGCAAACAGGAUUAGAUACCCUGGUAGUCCACGCCGUAAACGAUGAGUGCUAGGUGUAGGGGACGUCAUGUCUUCUGUGCCGGAGCAAACGCAAUAAGCACUCCGCCUGGGGAGUACGGUCGCAAGACUAAAACUCAAAGGAAUUGACGGGGGCCCGCACAAGCAGCGGAGCAUGUGGUUUAAUUCGAAGCAACGCGAAGAACCUUACCAGGGCUUGACAUCUACAGAAUACUGCAGAGAUGCGGUAGUGCCUACGCAAGUAGGAGCUGUAAGACAGGUGGUGCAUGGUUGUCGUCAGCUCGUGUCGUGAGAUGUUGGGUUAAGUCCCGCAACGAGCGCAACCCUUGUCAUUAGUUGCUAACGCGUUAUGGUGAGCACUCUAAUGAGACCGCUAAGGUAAACUUAGAGGAAGGUGGGGAUGACGUCAAAUCAUCAUGCCCUUUAUGUCCUGGGCGACACACGUGCUACAAUGGCUGUAACAGAGAGAAGCGAACCUGUAAAGGGGAGCAAAUCUUAGAAAAACAGUCCCAGUUCGGAUUGAGGGCUGCAACCCGCCCUCAUGAAGCCGGAGUUGCUAGUAAUCGCGAAUCAGCAUGUCGCGGUGAAUACGUUCCCGGGCCUUGUACACACCGCCCGUCACACCAUGAGAGUCUGCAACACCCGAAGCCUGUGAGCCAACCGUAAGGGGGCAGCAGUCGAAGGUGGGGCCGAUGAUUGGGGUGAAGUCGUAACAAGGUAGCCGUAGGAGAACC
rnacentral:rRNA from 1 species